rnacentral:rRNA from 1 species
UACGUAGAGUGCGAGCGUUGUCCGGAAUUAUUGGGCGUAAAGGGCUCGUAGGCGGUUUGUCGCGUCGGGAGUGAAAACUCAGGGCUUAACCCUGAGCCUGCUUCCGAUACGGGCAGACUAGAGGUAUGCAGGGGAGAACGGAAUUCCUGGUGUAGCGGUGAAAUGCGCAGAUAUCAGGAGGAACACCGGUGGCGAAGGCGGUUCUCUGGGCAUUACCCGACGCUGAGGAGCGAAAGUGUGGGGAGCGAACAGG